CGGUCGCCGUCGCCCACGAUCUCAUGGAGGCAGAGACUCAGGACGACGUGGGAAUUCAAAUGUAUACAUCAACACUCAUCGUCUUCCAAUUCCCAGUUCACACAAAAAUAGGAAACAAAUAAAGAAAGAAGAGCAGCGCAGAAUCAAACCAAAAAGGAGGAGAAAAUUCUUAUCAAAUCGGCUUAGGUCAGACUUGAUAAUUAUCAUUGGAAGUAUUAGGCGAAGCCACUUUUGCACUCUUUUACGGAAUAUUUAUGUUUGAAUUCUGAAUUGUGCUUUAGUUAUGUUAUCCCCAAAGCUUGGAUCCACUCUUUUGGGUUAGUGGAUUACUGCAUUGGGGGUUUAAGAAGCUGCGGUAGUUAGAGGUUGUGGAAAGUGUGGACUAUAGUAUUUGGCUGAGCCUAUUGAUGCAUGCUCGACAUUGACUAAUGAAGCCAGACAUGGCAAGAAUUAUAGCUCCCCUUUUGUGUUGAUUAUAAGAGGAGGGUGCAGUUUUGACUUUUGAGGAUAAAGUUAGAAGAGCUCAAAAGCUUGGGUUCAAAGCUGCAAUUUUUUACGACAAAGAAGAGAGCGGCGUCUUUGUUUCAAAAAGAGAACUCAUAGAGGUAGAACUGAAAGCAGAUCGAUAAGGACCUGUUGAUCCAUAUUCAAGCAUGUAUAUAUGAAUGGCAGAUUGGACACUAGAUAUAAAAUUAUGAUCAACAAGCAAAACUGAAAGCAAAUUGAUAAGGACCUGUUGGUCUAUAUUCAAGCAGAAAAUCCUUUUGCAUCGACCGGAUUAUAUUGAUACUUUGAUAGUACACCAAAAGACUGGGCAACUCGACGGUCAACUCAAGUCCGGUUGGGUUCACAUACCACUAUGUCUGAGUCAGAUUCACAUACUAGACCG